AACGAACGCUGGCGGCAUGCCUAACACAUGCAAGUCGAACGAGACCUUCGGGUCUAGUGGCGCACGGGUGCGUAACGCGUGGGAACCUGCCCUUAGGUUCGGAAUAACUCCCCGAAAGGGGUGCUAAUACCGGAUAAUGUCUUCGGACCAAAGAUUUAUCGCCUUUGGAUGGGCCCGCGUUGGAUUAGCUAGUUGGUAGGGUAAAAGCCUACCAAGGCGACGAUCCAUAGCUGGUCUGAGAGGAUGAUCAGCCACACUGGGACUGAGACACGGCCCAGACUCCUACGGGAGGCAGCAGUGGGGAAUAUUGGACAAUGGGCGAAAGCCUGAUCCAGCAAUGCCGGGUGAGUGAUGAAGGCCAUAGGGUUGUAAAGCUCUUUUAACCGGGAUGAUAAUGACAGUACCGGGAGAAUAAGCUCCGGCUAACUACGUG
rnacentral:rRNA from 1 species